rnacentral:misc_RNA from 1 species
GAUGAAGAACGCAGCGAAAUGCGAUAAGUAAUGUGAAUUGCAGAAUUCAGUGAAUCAUCGAAUCUUUGAACGCACAUUGCGCCCGCCAGUAUUCUGGCGGGCAUGCCUGUCCGAGCGUCAUUUCAACCCUCGAACCCCUCCGGGGGGUCGGCGUUGGGGAUCGGGAACCCCUAAGACGGGAUCCCGGCCCCGAAAUACAGUGGCGGUCUCGCCGCAGCCUCUCCUGCGCAGUAGUUUGCACAACUCGCACCGGGAGCGCGGCGCGUCCACGUCCGUAAAACACCCAACUUUCUGAAAUGUUGACCUCGGAUCAGGUAGGAAUACCCGCUGAACUUAAGCAUAGCAAUAAGCGGAGGA